rnacentral:misc_RNA from 1 species
AACAUCGCGCACCUGCGGGAACCUGCGGAAGGAUCAUUAAUGAUUGGUGGCUGUUGCUGACUAGUGUUUCUAGUAUGUGCACGCCACACCUUCAAUCCCACUUGCACCUGUGCACCUUCUGUAAUAGAUCUAUGUGGAUACGGAGAUAUGAAAGUUUGCGCUCUCGUACUCUGUUGAAGCAGUCUACUACGUUUUUUUACACACACACAAUAGUCAUUGAAUGUAUUUUUUAUUCUUAUG